UACGAAGGGGGCUAGCGUUGCUCGGAAUCACUGGGCGUAAAGCGCACGUAGGCGGCUUUUUAAGUCAGAGGUGAAAUCCUGGAGCUCAACUCCAGAACUGCCUUUGAUACUGGAGAGCUUGAGUCCGGGAGAGGUGAGUGGAACUGCGAGUGUAGAGGUGAAAUUCGUAGAUAUUCGCAAGAACACCAGUGGCGAAGGCGGCUCACUGGUCCCGAUACUGACGC
rnacentral:rRNA from 1 species